UUGGAGGUGAAAUCCCAGAGCUUAACUCUGGAACUGCCUUUAAAACUUUUCAACUAGAGUAUGAUAGAGGAAAGUGAAUUUCUAGUGUAGAGGUGAAAUGCGUAGAUAUUAAAAAGAAUACCAUUGGCAAAGGCGCUUUACUGGAUCAUUACUGACACUGAAGAACGAAAGCGUGGGUAGCGAACAGGAUUAGAUACCCUGGUAGUCCUCGCCGUAAACGAUGUGUGCUAGAUGUUGGAAAUUUAUUUUCCUGUCGCACCGAAACCGAUAAACACACCGCCUGGGGAGUACGACCGCAAGGUUAAAACUCCUUGAAUUGACGG
rnacentral:rRNA from 1 species